GCCCUGGUGGCCCAAUGGUUAGGCAUUCGGCUGCUAACCAAAAGUUUGGGGGUUCGAACCCACCCAGCUGCU
rnacentral:tRNA from 1 species